ensembl:lncRNA
AUUCCAAAUUGAAGUCAUUUUUAUCCGAUUUGCCUCACGCCGAUUGGGCCGCACAGCUGUUUAGUCCCAAUCCUGGAAGUUCUCGUCGCGUUGUGUGUGGAAAUGCUCUUACUCUCACUAUUAAACAUAGACAUGAGUUCUACUCUCCCUUUUUUUUUUUUUUUUAUGAUGUGACCUCACCAAGCGUUUUAAAGAUCAUUCAAGGUUUCGAACGUUCAUUUUUCCGACCACAUUUCUUCCUCAAAGUUGACUGCUUGCCACUCUCCUUCCAGGUUUUAAUAACGCGUUGGACAGUUCUUAACCCGACCCGAUUCCAGGGAUUCAAACAGUCUCCUUAGUUGUUUUCGUUGCUCGAUGCAUGGCAAUAAUUUGCCCCUUCUGAAACACAGUAACAUCAUCUCCACGACCAUGGGAUACGUCUUCCGACACGGCUGUUUAAAUAAUGAGAAGCUACACACUGCUUCAGUUAGGGUUCAAAGAAUUGUUGCCAGCUGAAUCACUGCAAUAAUGAUCCAGUCAUAGGCCCUUAAGUAUUUGCUUAUUUAAAUCUAAAUAAUUUUUGGACAGGCAUUGUAUACUGAUCAGAUGGCCGAGCAGUAGGUACUGAAUCGAAUGUAGUUGGUACUGAAUCGAAUGCAGUAGGUACUGAAUCGAAUGCAGUAGGUACUGAGUCGAAUGCAGUAGGUACUGAAUCGAAUGCAGUUGGUACUGGAUCGAAUGCAGUAGGUACUAAAUCGAAUGCAGCUGG